rnacentral:rRNA from 1 species
AAAUUGAAGAGUUUGAUCAUGGCUCAGAUUGAACGCUGGCGGCAGGCCUAACACAUGCAAGUCGAACGGUAACAGGAAGAAGCUUGCUUCUUUGCUGACGAGUGGCGGACGGGUGAGUAAUGUCUGGGAAACUGCCUGAUGGAGGGGGAUAACUACUGGAAACGGUAGCUAAUACCGCAUAACGUCGCAAGACCAAAGAGGGGGACCUUCGGGCCUCUUGCCAUCGGAUGUGCCCAGAUGGGAUUAGCUUGUUGGUGGGGUAACGGCUCACCAAGGCGACGAUCCCUAGCUGGUCUGAGAGGAUGACCAGCC